rnacentral:lncRNA from 1 species
GGAGCAUUUAAGCCAGUCCUAACCUGAGAGGAAUCAGCAAUCCCAGCAGUAAGAACUUCAGUGCCUGAAAACCUCACCACAGGGGGCCUACAGUUCUGUGUGUUUCCAAGUAAACUUGAAAGGCAGUCUAAGCCAUAAGGACUGCAACUCUUAGGUGAGUCCAGUGCUGAAUAAGUCCCAGAAAACUCCUUCCUUCUGCUGGAGGAAUGGAAAGAAACAGUAAGGAAGACUUUGUCUUUGCAUAUCAGCUGAGCCACAAGAGGAUAAGGCACCAAACAGAGUUGUGAGGCCCCCGUUCCGGGCCACUGCUCCUAGACAACAUUUCUAGACAUAGGCUGGGCCAGAAGGGAAACCUCUGCAUUGAAGGAAAGAAUUCAUUCCUCAGAGCAUUCAUCACCUGUUAAUUGAAGAUACCU